GGCACCGUAGCGUAAUGGCUAACGCAUUGCUUUCCGGUUCCUUCGCAAACAAAAAGAGAUGGAUAACUGCCUGGCAAAGAUUGUGGGUUCGAGUCCCGUCGGUGUCG